UGCCAGCCGCCGCGGUAAUACGGAGGGGGUUAGCGUUGUUCGGAAUUAUUGGGUUUAAAGGGUGCGUAGGCGGAAAUUUAAGUCAGUGGCGAAAGCCUACAGCUUAACUGUAGAAUUGCCAUUGUAACUGAAUUUCUUGAAUCUAAUUGAAGUAGGCGGAAUAUGACAUGUAGCGGUGAAAUGCUUAGAUAUGUCAUAGAACACCGAUAGCGAAGGCAGCUUACUAAGUUAGUAUUGACGCUAAUGCACGAAAGCGUGGGGAGCGAACAGGAUUAGAUA
rnacentral:rRNA from 1 species